rnacentral:rRNA from 1 species
GUGGGGAAUUUUGGACAAUGGGGGCAACCCUGAUCCAGCAAUGCCGCGUGCAGGAAGAAGGCCUUCGGGUUGUAAACUGCUUUUGUACGGAACGAAACGGUCCUGGUUAAUACCUGGGGCUAAUGACGGUACCGUAAGAAUAAGCACCGGCUAACUACGUGCCAGCAGCCGCGGUAAUACGUAGGGUGCAAGCGUUAAUCGGAAUUACUGGGCGUAAAGCGUGCGCAGGCGGUUUUGUAAGACAGGCGUGAAAUCCCCGGGCUGAACCUGGGAAUGGCGCUUGGGACUGCAAGGCUGGAGUGCGGCAGAGGGGGAUGGAAUUCCGCGUGUAGCAGUGAAAUGCGUAGAUAUGCGGAGGAACACCGAUGGCGAAGGCAAUCCCCUGGGCCUGCACUGACGCUCAUGCACGAAAGCGUGGGGAGCAAACAGGAUUAGAAACCCCAGUAGUCC